GCAGCCAUCAUUUAAAGAAAGCGUAAUAGCUCACUGAUCGAGUCGUCCUGCGCGGAAGAUGUACCGGGGCUAAGCCAAUAACCGAAGCUGCGGAUGUGCCGCGAGGCACGUGGUAGGAGAGCGUUCUGUAAGCCUGUGAAGGUGUCUUGUGAAGGAUGCUGGAGGUAUCAGAAGUGCGAAUGCUGACAUGAGUAGCGAUAAAGAGUGUGAGAAACACUCUCGCCGAAAGUCCAAGGGUUCCUGCUUAAAGCUAAUCUGAGCAGGGUAAGCCGACCCCUAAGUCGAGGCCGAAAGGCGUAGACGAUGGGAACCAGGUUAAUAUUCCUGGGCCAGGAGAUGGUGACGGAUUGUGAAGGUUGUUCCUCCUUAUUGGAUUGGAGGGGCCGCUGAUCAGUCCCUGGAAAUAGCCCUCCAUAAGACCGUACCCUAAACCGACACAGGUGGACUGGUAGAGCAUACCAAGGCGCUUGAGAGAACGAUGUUGAAGGAACUCGGCAAAAUGCUUCCGUAACUUCGGGAUAAGGAAGACCUGUUUUUAGGCAACUAGAGAUGGGUGGCACAAGCCAGGGAGAAGCGACUGUUUAUCAAAAACACAGGACUCUGCUAACUCGCAAGAGGAUGUAUAGAGUCUGACGCCUGCCCGGUGCUGGUA
rnacentral:rRNA from 1 species